rnacentral:rRNA from 1 species
GGCACAGGCCAGGGGGUAGCGACUGUUUACCAAAAACACAGGAGCGUGCGAAGGCGCAAGCCGCUGUAUACGCUCUGACGCCUGCCCGGUGCCGGAAGGUUAAGAGGAUCCGUCAGCUUUCUGCGAAGCGGUGAAUUCAAGCCCCGGUAAACGGCGGUGGUAACUAUAACCAUCCUAAGGUAGCGAAAUUCCUUGUCGGGUAAGUUCCGACCUGCACGAAUGGCGUAACGACUUCCCCACUGUCUCGACCAGGAGCUCGGCGAAAUUGCAGUACGAGUAAAGAUGCUCGUUAAGCGCAGAAGGACGAAAAGACCCCGGGACCUUUACUAUACCUUGGUAUUGGCAUUAGGCGCGGAUUGUGUAGCAUAGGCGGGAGGCUUCGAGGCGGGUGCGCCAGCAUCCGCGGAGCCGCAAGGUGAAAUACCGCUCUGUUCUCGUUUGAUGUCUAACCUCGAACAGUCAUCCUGUUCAGGGACAGUGCCUGGCGGGUAGUUCAACUGGGGCGGUUGCCUCCCAAAGAGUAACGGAGGCGCUCAAAGGUCCGCUCGGCCCGGUUGGCAAUCGGGUGUCGAGUGUAAUCGCACAAGCGGGCUUGACUGCGAGAUCGACGGAUCGAGCAGGGACGAAAGUCGGAGAUAGUGAUCCGGUGCCGGCGCACGGGCGCGGCAUCGCUCAACGGAUAAAAGGUACCCCGGGGAUAACAGGCUGAUCAUUCCCAAGAGUCCAUAUCGACGGGAUGGUUUGGCACCUCGAUGUCGGCUCGUCGCAUCCUGGGGCUGGAGCAGGUCCCAAGGGUUCGGCUGUUCGCCGAUCAAAGCGGCACGCGAGCUGGGUUCAGAACGUCGUGAGACAGUUUGGUCUCUAUCCUCUGCGCUCGUUGGAAUCUUGAGGAGGCCUGCCCAUAGUACGAGAGGACCUGGGUGGACGAACCUCUGGUAUGCCGGUCGUCACGCCAGUGGCGCGGCCGGUUGGCUACGUUCGGAAGGGAUAACCGCUGAAAGCAUCUAAGCGGGAAGCCUUCUCCAAGAUAAGGAUUCCAUGCGGCCCCGAGCCGCUGAAGACCCCAUGCAGAACACGUGGUUGAUAGGCCGGACGUGGAAGCCCCGCGAGGGGUGGAGCCGACCGGUACUAAUGGUCGAGAGGCAACCCACA